rnacentral:rRNA from 1 species
UACGGAGGAUCCGAGCGUUAUCCGGAUUUAUUGGGUUUAAAGGGUGCGUAGGUGGAUUGGUAAGUCAGUGGUGAAAGUUUGCAGCUUAACUGUAAAAUUGCCGUUGAAACUGCCGUUCUUGAGUGCAAAUGAGGUAGGCGGAAUGCGUCGUGUAGCGGUGAAAUGCUUAGAUAUGACGCAGAACUCCGAUUGCGAAGGCAGCUUACUGGGAUGCAACUGACGCUGAGGCACGAAAGCGUGGGUAUCAAACAGGAUUAGAUACCCCU